AAUAGAUACCCAGGUAGUCCAUGCCGUAAACGUUGGGCACUAGGUGUGGGGCUCAUUCCACGAGUUCCGUGCCGCAGCAAACGCAUUAAGUGCCCCGCCUGGGGAGUACGGCCGCAAGGCUAAAACUCAAAGGAAUUGACGGGGGCCCGCACAAGCGGCGGAGCAUGCGGAUUAAUUCGAUGCAACGCGAAGAACCUUACCAAGGGCUUGACAUGCACGGGAAGCCACCAGAGAUGGUGGUCUCUUUGGACACUCGUGCACAGGUGGUGCAUGGUUGUCGUCAGCUCGUGUCGUGAGAUGUUGGGUUAAGUCCCGCAACGAGCGCAACCCUGUCCCAUGUUGCCAGCGGGUUAUGCCGGGGACUCAUGGGAGACUGCCGGGGUCAACUCGGAGGAAGUGGGGAUGACGUCAAAGUCAGUCAUGCCCCUUAUGUCUUGGGCUUCACGGCAUGCUACAAUGGCCGGUACAAAGGGCUGCGAUACCGUAAGGUGGAGCGAAUCCCAAAAAGCCGGUCUCAGUUCGGAUUGGGGUC
rnacentral:rRNA from 1 species